GCCGGGAGCCGCUCCAAACCAAAGGGCCCGGGUUCACCCGGUGAGCGCGGGCAGAGCGCCUGCGGGUUGGGGCAGAGGCGGCCGAGCCGCAAAACGAGGGCCGAAGCUGUCGCCCCAUUCGGACCUUCGGAAGGGUUUUUGCUGGAAACCGCGCCCUGUGGAGAAGAGGGGAACCGUGCGCCAUCCAGGAACAAAAGCUGAGUCAAGGCGGGAGCAAGGUCAUCUCUUUGGCAGGAACCAGGAAGGAGAGAAGGAGGAGCCAUUGGGAAGGGCAUGAGGGGGCUUCAGAGUACUGGCAAGGUUCUCUACCUGGAAGACAGUUACAUGGGAGGAGGCCACUGCCAUGGUUCAAGGACAGUCAAGUACCCUAUGGAAAGACCCAUGUGAAGAACUAAGGUUUCUUGUCAACAGCCGAUGCCAACUUUCUACUCAUUUGAGUGAGCCAUCUUGGAAGCAAAGCCUCCCAACCCUGGUCAUGCUUCCAGAUAACUACAGCUUCAGCUGCCAUCUUGUUUGCAACCUCAUGAGACCACAAACCAAAACGUUGCCUCCAAGCUACUCCUGAAUUCCUAACCCACAGAAAUUAUUUGAUGUAGCAAAUAUUUGUUCUUGUUUUAGGAAAUGUUGUUAAAUAGCAAUAAAUAAUUAAUAUAGGUAUAAAUGUGAUAACCUCAAGGAUGUUUAGAAAAUGCUGGAAUAGCAUUUGACACUAUUAAUGUUUGCAUUCUUGCUUAAUCCUCCAAAUCCAGCUCCCAUUUGUACUUUUACAUUAUUUUUUGUUUGUUUAUUUGUUUGUUGAUUUUCGGAUAGCUCCUUCCAGUCCUCUUUGCUUUCCUCUUUCUCCUCCCAUAUCCACCGCAUAGCCACUUCUCAGAGAUCUACUUUUCUCAUGAGUUCAUUCAUCCCAUACCAAACCAUCUUUACGAUGAGGAUAGUUUACAGCCUUCAGUGUCUCUUUUAGGCUACAGUAUGCAAAUGGAACUUGAACACUUCCACUUAGAUGUUCAAAGUCAAUAUAUCUACAACCAGAUUUGUCUUUUUUCUUUAGAAUUAUCCUCUUCUGAGUUCACCUGCAUUAGUGGGGCCAUGCUUCUCUACAUUGAGAAACACUCAAACUACUAAUUCCCUAACUCUUCAUUCAUUUGUCCUUUGACUUGAUGUUCUAUCUUUAAAUUCUAUAAAUGUAUACUUCAUAACAUCUUUAAAAGUCUCUGCUUUUUUCAUUCCUAUUACCUGACUCACUGCCAGAUCUUUGUGAGCUGAUAAUUACAAUAACCCUAUCAGGUAAUAAUUUCACUAACCACCUCACCUACUCUUGACUCCAGUAUCUCUUCACUUCCAUCCAUCAUGCACAAGACUGCCGAAUUAAUCUUUCUAGACACUACAUCCAUUCCUUUUCCACUUACAGAUUGUCGAGGGUACUUCCUUAUCCUUAAUAUUACCUUCCCCACAGCCUUCUCUAAUUACUGCAUUAUUUUAAUACUCCUCAAGUGAGCUGGAAUUUUAUUUCCACUCUCAAAUGCCAAGUACAGUUUCUCCUCCAUAUAUCUUGCCCAUUCCAUUCCCCACUCACUAACGACCUUCUUUGUCUCUCUCCUAUCCAUACCUAAAUCUUUGUAAUGUGUCACAACCCAGCUCAAGUCUUGAAUUUCUAAUAGAUUUUCUCUGAUCUCUCUGGUUCAUAAAACGUUACCAGCAUAUAUAUUCAAAAUCACAAUGAAUAGAACAGCAAUAUUAGCCUGGAACAAAAAGGGAAUGACACUAUUUAUAAAAGUUCUUUGAACUAGUAUUAUACUUGCUACUUGUUGCAUUUAUUUAGUGACAAAUAACAUGUAACUUUGUAUUUUCUACCAAUGAAGAUUUAGCUCAGCAGGAAUCAGCUGAAAUAAAAGGAGAUUACUGCAAAUCUCUGGACCUUUCAUAAUGCCAUCUAGAAUUAUUAAUGAAUGUUGGUCACUAAUU